AUAGGGGAGCCGGAGGGAAACCGAGUCUUAAUUGGGCGUUAAGUUGCAGGGUAUAGACCCGAAACCCGGUGAUCUAGCCAUGGGCAGGUUGAAGGUUGGGUAACACUAACUGGAGGACCGAACCGACUAAUGUUGAAAAAUUAGCGGAUGACCUGUGGCUGGGGGUGAAAGGCCAAUCAAACCGGGAGAUAGCUGGUUCUCCCCGAAAGCUAUUUAGGUAGCGCCUCGUGAAUUCAUCUCCGGGGGUAGAGCACUGUUUCGGCUAGGGGGCCAUCCCGGCUUACCAACCCGAUGCAAACUGCGAAUACCGGAGAAUGUUAUCACGGGAGACACACGGCGGGUGCUAACGUCCGUCGUGAAGAGGGAAACAACCCAGACCGCCAGCUAAGGUCCCAAAGUCAUGGUUAAGUGGGAAACGAUGUGGGAAGGCCCAGACAGCCAGGAUGUUGGCUUAGAAGCAGCCAUCAUUUAAAGAAAGCGUAAUAGCUCACUGGUCGAGUCGGCCUGCGCGGAAGAUGUAACGGGGCUAAACCAUGCACCGAAGCUGCGGCAGCGAACGUAUCACUUAAAGCGAUUCAGCGGGUUACGAUUGACGGAGCGAAGCGACGUCAAAGCGUAUACAAAGUCGAGUCGGUUUAAGGAUACGUUCGUUGGGUAGGGGAGCGUUCUGUAAGCCUGCGAAGGUGGCCUGUGAGGGUUGCUGGAGGUAUCAGAAGUGCGAAUGCUGACAUAAGUAACGAUAAAGCGGGUGAAAAGCCCGCUCGCCGGAAGACCAAGGGUUCCUGUCCAACGUUAAUCGGGGCAGGGUGAGUCGACCCCUAAGGCGAGGCCGAAAGGCGUAGUCGAUGGGAAACGGGUUAAUAUUCCCGUACUUGGUGUUACUGCGAAGGGGGGACGGAGAAGGCUAUGUUGGCCGGGCGACGGUUGUCCCGGUUUAAGCGUGUAGGUGUGUGUUCCAGGUAAAUCCGGUUCACUUUAACACUGAGGCGUGACGACGAGGCACUACGGUGCUGAAGCAACAAAUGCCCUGCUUCCAGGAAAAGCCUCUAAGCAUCAGGUAACAUCAAAUCGUACCCCAAACCGACACAGGUGGUCAGGUAGAGAAUACCAAGGCGCUUGA
rnacentral:rRNA from 1 species